rnacentral:rRNA from 1 species
CCUACGGGGUGCUGCAGUGGGGAAUAUUGGGCAAUGGGCGCAAGCCUGACCCAGCAACGCCGCGUGAAGGAAGAAGGCUUUCGGGUUGUAAACUUCUUUUGUCAGGGACGAAGCAAGUGACGGUACCUUACGAAUCAGCCACGGCUAACUCCGUGCCAGCCGCCGCGGUAAUACGUAGGUGGCAAGCGUUAUCCGGAUUUAUUGGGUGUAAAGGGCGUGUAGGUGGGAAUGCAAGUCAGAUGUGAAAACUAUGGGCUCAACCCAUAGCCUGCAUUUGACACUGUAUGUCUUGAGUGCUGGAGAGGCAAGCGGAAUUCCGUGUGUAGCGGUGAAAUGCGUAGAUAUACGGAGGAACACCAGUGGCGAAGGCGGAUUGCUGGACAGUAACUGACGCUGAGGCGCGAAAGCGUGGGGAGCAAACAGGAUUAGAUACCCCAGUAGUC